GAUGAACGCUAGCUACAGGCUUAACACAUGCGAGUCGAGGGGCAGCAUGGUCUUAGCUUGCUAAGGCCGAUGGCGACCGGCGCACGGGUGAGUAACACGUAUCCAACCUGCCGUCUACUCUUGGACAGCCUUCUGAAAGGAAGAUUAAUACAAGAUGGCAUCAUGAGUUCACAUGUUCACAUGAUUAAAGGUAUUCCGGUAGACGAUGGGGAUGCGUUCCAUUAGAUAGUAGGCGGGGUAACGGCCCACCUAGUCUUCGAUGGAUAGGGGUUCUGAGAGGAAGGUCCCCCACAUUGGAACUGAGACACGGUCCAAACUCCUACGGGAGGCAGCAGCGAGGAAUAUUGGUCAAUGGGCGAGAGCCUGAACCAGCCAAGUAGCGUGAAGGAUGACUGCCCUAUGGGUUGUAAACUUCUUUUAUAAAGGAAUAAAGUCGGGUAUGUAUACCCGUUUGCAUGUACUUUAUGAAUAAGGAUCGGCUAACUCCGUG
rnacentral:rRNA from 1 species